GGAAGCCCUUCCACGAGAUCAAGCAGCGAGUGACUUCCGGUCGCACGGGUUCUCGAAAAAUUUUCGAAAUUCCUGAAAUUUCCCCGAGUUUCCCGAGGCGGAGUAAAAUUGGCUGGCGGUCUUCGCGAGAGAUCGGCGAUCGUCGCGCCGCGUCGGUGGCGCCCGCUAGGCGGCGCGCGCACGCACUAGGCCCCCUCGGAGUCAUGUGUUCGCUCAGUGUAUUGCGGCCUCUGCUAGCGUACGGUCGUUCGUGUGGGGGUACGUGGACUGGGUGUCGCGGUGGCGCGUAUCGUUCCUCGUGAAACCGAGAAGCAGCCCGCGGAUUCCCGUGAUCGUGGCGGCCCGAGCACACGUACACGCAUUAAUCGGUCCCGGUCGAGUGUUGUUUUCGUCGCGUGCGCGCGCGCGCGCGUGCUUGCGUUUUCAUCUCGGCCGCGCAGUGGGUCCGGAUUCGGUUCCGACCAGACCACGACGACGACGACGACGACGACAACAACGACGGCGACGGUACGCACGGCUGAUAAACGUAAACGUCGCCGCGGCUAGGGAAGAAUCGGCGGAGAGAGGGAAAGAGAGACGAAUUAGUAGAGGCUGUGUGGAGCAGCGGAUCGGGAGGUGUGCGCGUCUCGUGUUCGCGCCAGCCAGAGGCGUCCUUCCGCGUUCUCUCUCGUGCACAUUCACGCCGGGGAUCGCACGGCUAGUGAGUGAUUUUUAUUACCGACGAGCAGUGCCCCGGGAAGGACGGAAGUAGCCGUUCAGUGAAGUUCCUCGACUUUUCGCGAUCGGUCAACCAGAGACCCGCAGGGAUGACGAGGUAGCCCCCCAUCCGAGGGAUUGGAUUACCAUGCUGGACACGGCCACGAGUCGCAGGUGGCUGUUAGAAGUUCAGGCUGAAACCGCGAAGAGCACCGAUUGGCAGCAGCAUGCUAGCGAUAUAGCGUUCGAGCAUCGACAGUCUUCUACGUGAAGUGACUCUGCCAUGUUGCUUAGGUGAACGGGAGGGAGGCGGUGCUGACCGGUGGCGGCGGCGGCCAUGCGCCCCGGCCCGCCAGUACAGCCGAGCCGCCGCAGGCCUCCCCGUCGCCAGGAACCCCAUCAGGAACGCAACCGACGGCACCGGCAAGACCAACAGCAACCGGUGCACCCGCGGCCGCACGGCAGCAGCUCGCGGGCCCUGCUGGUGUUGCUGCUGCUGGCCAGCAGCCCUCUGGUCCUGGGCCUGGCCGAACCGCCAGGGUCACCCGGGGCCGGACAGCAGGCGCUCUCCAGAGAGACCUACCCGAAGUCGGGCACCCAGCUAAGGAAACAUCAGAACCUCACCAUUGGAUACCUCACGGCGAUCAAGGGCGGCCUCAAGGACCGCCAGGGUCUCGCCAUAUCCGGCGCCUUCUCCAUGGCCCUU